rnacentral:ncRNA from 1 species
UGUCUUCAGGGCAGGGUGAAAUUCCCGAUCGGCGGUAUAGUCCGCGAGCGCGCUUGCGCAGACCCGGUGUAACUCCGGGACCGACAGUGACGUAUCCUUUUGGAUGCGAAGUCUGGAUGAAAGAAGAUG